UCAUCCUGGGUCGAGUGGUGCUGCCGCUGGUGCUGGGGCUGCCGCCGCCGCCGGGAGCCUCCUUAGCUGCCUUCCCCCGUGCCCGCACUGACACCAUCUGUCAACUUCAUUUAGACAUUACAGUCCUCAGCCACACGCCAGGGUGCCACACGCCCAAAGGAAAUUGUUUUAAGAUCAAGAUUUGAUUGAUGUCUGGACUUUAGAUAUUUCUUCAAAGUGAAGAUCAGAGUUGGGUAGUAGAGGAACCAUAAGGAAACAUCCAUGGAACUUCCUGUGGCCAUCUUGCCAUUUCCCUGGCUCUUUGGUGGAAGCCCACUUACAAGAGAAGAGAACCAACCCCAGAGAGAAGCAAAGGAGAUAAGAGCAUGGGCUGACAACACUGUUGGAAGCUGGGAAUUGCCCAGUCCCUGGGAUUCUCUUUUGAUCAGCCAAUGCCUCUCUUCCACAAACCAUUUCCAAGUGCUGUUCUAUACUAGGCACUGUGCUAGGUGCUGGG